UUAGGUUCUGCCCGAGCCAGUCGUGCCCGCAAGGCCAGGGAACCCGGUGCGAAUCCGGGACUGUCGCGCAGCGGUGAGGGUGACCGGCGGAACACGUGCCACUGGGCCCCGGUGCCCGGGAAGGCGUUCCGGCGGGCUGAACCCGAGUCCGAAGACCUGCUGGCUCGGUCGUCGACCG
rnacentral:ncRNA from 2 species